rnacentral:rRNA from 1 species
UACGGAGGGUGCAAGCGUUAUCCGGAUUUACUGGGCUUAAAGGGUGCGUAGGUGGGUAAGUAAGUCAGUGGUGAAAUCUCCGGGCUUAACCCGGAAACUGCCAUUGAUACUAUUUGUCUUGAAUACUGUGGAGGUCAGCGGAAUAUGUCAUGUAGCGGUGAAAUGCUUAGAUAUGACAUAGAACACCAAUUGCGAAGGCAGCUGGCUGCACAAAUAUUGACACUGAGGCACGAAAGCGUGGGGAUCAAACAGG